ensembl:snRNA U1 U1 spliceosomal RNA
GUAAGAAUCAGGAGAGUGUACUUACCUGAUCACAAAGGUGGUUUUCCCAGAGCGAGGCUCAUCCAUUACGUGCCGGAUGUGCUGACCUCUGCCAUUUCCCCAAAUGUGGGAAAUCUAACUGCAUAAUUUAUAGUAGUGGGGGACUGUGUUCACACUCUCCCCUG